AUUGAACGCUGGCGGCAUGCUUUACACAUGCAAGUCGAACGGUAACAGGGUGCUUGCACCGCUGACGAGUGGCGAACGGGUGAGUAAUGCGUCGGAACGUGCCGAGUAGUGGGGGAUAACGCAGCGAAAGUUGUGCUAAUGCCGCAUACGUACUGAGGUAGAAAGUGGGGGACCUUCGGGCCUCACGCUAUUCGAGCGGCCGACGUCUGAUUAGCUAGUAGGUGAGGUAAAGGCUCACCUAGGCGACGAUCAGUAGCGGGUCUGAGAGGAUGAACCGCCACACUGGGACGGAGACACGGCCCAGACUCCUACGGGAGGCAGCAGUGGGGAAUUUUGGACAAUGGGCGAAAGCCUGAUCCAGCCAUGCCGCGUGUCUGAAGAAGGCCUUCGGGUUGUAAAGGACUUUUGUCAGGGAGGAAAUCCCUAGUGCUAAUAACACUGGGGGAUGACAGUACCUGAAGAAUAAGCACCGGCUAACUACGUGCCAGCCGCCGCCGUAA
rnacentral:rRNA from 1 species